GAACGCGAAAGUUCCCUUCGGGGAGCGAGUAGAGUGGCGAAAGGGUGAGUAAUGCUUGGAUGACCUGCCCUCGAGACGGGGACUACAGUUCGAAAGGACUGCUAAUACCCGAUAGUCCGGUUUAGAUGCGUCUAGAUUGGUAAAUGGUGCUUCCGCUCGAGGAGGGGUUCAAGUCCUAUCAGCUUGUUGGUGAGGUAACGGCUCACCAAGGCGAUGACGGGUAGCCGGACUGAGAGGUUGGCCGGCCACAUGGGAACUGAGACACUGUCCUGACUCCUACGGGAGGCUGCAGUCGAGAAUCUUCUGCAAUGGGCGAAAGCCUGACAGAGCGACGCCGCGUGGAGGAUGAAGGCCCUCGGGUCGUAAACUCCUGUCACAUGUUAUGAAACGCACAGGUCUACCUGUGCGCUGACAAAAGCAUGAGAGGAAGUCACGGCUAACUUCGUG
rnacentral:rRNA from 1 species